AGGUGCAUAAUAUAUUAAAUUCUCUUUAUUUUCUAAAUCCUUACAAUUGGUACACCCUAAAAAAGCUUUGUCCGAUGAAGAUUGUAAAACUGUAGAAAAAUGGUGGCCUCAUUAAAGACGUUAAAGGAAGUAAGCUUAAUGUUCCAAAAAGAGUGUAUUUUUAUAUGUCAAUGGACCAAAUAGCUUCAAAAAUGAAUUCCCUAUUAUCACAAAACUUAUUCAGCUCUCAAUAAAAGGGAAAAAAUGCUAAUAAAUUAAUUAAUCAUCUCUGCCUUAUAUCUAGAUUCUAAGUUUAAAUAUUUUUAGAACGAAGAGGAAAAGUUAUAAAUCAUUUAUUGGCAUGGGAACAUAUUGAAAAUGUUAAGGAUGAAGAUUUAAAUAUAAUAAGUUCAGAUAAAUCUUCUGAAGAAGGACAAGAAUAUCAGGAUUUAGAAGUGUUUCUAAGAUCCAAGGAUAAAAAUGAAAAACAUGACAAAAUUUACAAACAAGAUGAUAUUCUAUCAAUUAUAAAAAAAAUUCGAGCAUUUACAAGAAUACUGGGAAUCCAAUAAAAUAAAAAAUUUCUCCUGUAUGAAUUGACCUAAAUCAUAUUAGCAAUUCCAUAUGUAGCCAGGUAAUCUAACCAAGAUUCUGCUGCGCUUUAGUCUCUCAUUCCAAAUUUCUAACUCUCUGAAAUAGAGAUGUCAAAAAAACGAUCCAUUUUUUGAAUGCGUCAACCUACUACAAGCCAUUAAUGCGAUGAUAAAGGCGCCCCUCGCAAAUUCCAGAUCCCGAUCGUCAUGCAGGUACUUCUAUAAACGGUGGAAUCGGUUUCAACAAAAUCAUGUCUUUUGCUUUGACAAAACAAUGAGUCAAUAAAACAUAGCCUCUAAUUAAAAAAAUUGAAAUGUGACAAAUACACGGGCAUGUCAGAUAAAUAUUAUUUCGUUUAGGUCAUCGAGACCCCUCUUGAAACUUUUGGUCCACAAGUCACAGAUCUAAUAAAAAAACUGGGUAGAGUAAUUUCGGUGGUGAAAACAGAAGGCUUCUGCCUUCGUUAGAGACUUGCAAUACAGCGCACUCAAGUGGAUUUGUUUUGGCAGCUCGUUCGGAUAAGGAAUUAUGUACACAUGUAAUGUUUUAUAAAUUAUUAUAUCUUCAUAAUCAUGAAUUUUUUAAAAAU